UACGUAGGGUGCAAGCGUUGUCCGGAAUUAUUGGGCGUAAAGAGCUCGUAGGCGGUUUGUCGCGUCGGCUGUGAAAACCUGGGGCUCAACCCCGGGCCUGCAGCCGAUACGGGCAAACUAGAAUUCGGUAGGGGAGACUGGAAUUCCUGGUGUAGCGGUGGAAUGCGCAGAUAUCAGGAGGAACACCAAUAGCGAAGGCAGCUCGCUGGGACGGUACUGACGCUAAGGCGCGAAAGCGUGGGGAGCGAACAGG
rnacentral:rRNA from 1 species